UUUUUUUUUUUUUUUUUUUUUUUUUUUUCAAAAAAAGGAAAAUU
rnacentral:ribozyme from 15 species